GGACGGGUGAGUAAUGCCUAGGAAUCUGCCUGGUAGUGGGGGAUAACGUUCGGAAACGGACGCUAAUACCGCAUACGUCCUACGGGAGAAAGCAGGGGACCUUCGGGCCUUGCGCUAUCAGAUGAGCCUAGGUCGGAUUAGCUAGUUGGUGAGGUAAUGGCUCACCAAGGCGACGAUCCGUAACUGGUCUGAGAGGAUGAUCAGUCACACUGGAACUGAGACACGGUCCAGACUCCUACGGGAGGCAGCAGUGGGGAAUAUUGGACAAUGGGCGAAAGCCUGAUCCAGCCAUGCCGCGUGUGUGAAGAAGGUCUUCGGAUUGUAAAGCACUUUAAGUUGGGAGGAAGGGUUGUAGAUUAAUACUCUGCAAUUUUGACGUUACCGACAGAAUAAGCACCGGCUAACUCUGUGCCAGCAGCCGCGGUAAUACAGAGGGUGCAAGCGUUAAUCGGAAUUACUGGGCGUAAAGCGCGCGUAGGUGGUUUGUUAAGUUGGAUGUGAAAUCCCCGGGCUCAACCUGGGAACUGCAUUCAAAACUGACUGACUAGAGUAUGGUAGAGGGUGGUGGAAUUUCCUGUGUAGCGGUGAAAUGCGUAGAUAUAGGAAGGAACACCAGUGGCGAAGGCGACCACCUGGACUAAUACUGACACUGAGGUGCGAAAGCGUGGGGAGCAAACAGGAUUAGAUACCCUGGUAGUCCACGCCGUAAACGAUGUCAACUAGCCGUUGGAAGCCUUGAGCUUUUAGUGGCGCAGCUAACGCAUUAAGUUGACCGCCUGGGGAGUACGGCCGCAAGGUUUAA
rnacentral:rRNA from 1 species